GGAGAGAUGGCAGAGUGGUUGAAUGCGGCGGUCUUGAAAACCGUUAAGGAUGCAAGUCCUUCCGGGGUUCGAAUCCCUGUCUCUCCGCAA
rnacentral:tRNA from 1 species